UCAAUUCCAAAUCCAAUCAUAAAAACACCCAAUUUCUAUUACAAGAAAUGUAACAUCAUUUCUUAAUAUAUAUUCCAAUAUUAUAAUAAUCUUCUAAUAUCUCCACAUUCCCUAUAUGUUCUUCUUUCUUCUCCCAAUCCUCCAUUCUUACUCUGCUACUCACCGCCAUGGAAAUUGAGGCCGUCGGAGGAAGCCAUAGCCACGGCGGCGACGCCUUGCGACGGGGCGACGAGCGAGGGACUUACCUUGUGUGGGAGGAUCUCACGGUGGUACUCCCUAAUUUCAGCGACAGCCCCACCAAAAGACUCCUAAAUGGCCUCCGUGGCUACGCUGAGCCCGGCCGGAUUAUGGCCAUCAUGGGCCCUUCCGGCUCCGGCAAAUCCACCCUUCUUGAUACUCUUGCAGGCAGACUCUCCAAGAAUGUGGUAAUGACUGGAAAUAUUUUCUUCAAUGGAAAGAAGAGGAAGCUCGGAUAUGGCGACGUUGCCUAUGUAACCCAAGAAGAUAUAUUAUUGGGAACUCUAACAGUGAGAGAAACUAUAAGCUACUCAGCCCAACUGCGGCUUCCGAGUUCUAUGACCAAAGAUGAACUUAAUAGUAUCGUCGAUGCAACGAUUUUGGAAAUGGGUCUUCAAGAUUGCGCCGAUCGGUUGAUUGGGAAUUGGCAUCUUCGAGGAAUUAGUGGUGGGGAAAAGAAGAGAUUGAGUGUUGCAGUUGAAAUCCUUACACGCCCUCGUUUGCUUUUUCUUGAUGAACCCACCAGCGGUCUUGAUAGUGCUUCGGCAUUCUUUGUGAUUCAAACUCUUAGAAAUGUUGCUCGUGAUGGGCGGACUGUUGUUUCUUCAAUUCACCAGCCGAGUAGUGAGGUUUUUGCUCUCUUUGAUGACCUUUUUUUGCUCUCUGGAGGUGAGGCUGUUUACUUUGGGGAAGCCAAAAUGGCUGUACAGUUCUUUGCUGAAGCUAACUUUCCAUGUCCAAGUAGAAGGAAUCCAUCUGAUCACUUUCUUCGUUGUAUAAAUUCGGAUUUCGAUAUCGUUACGGCGACACUCAAAGGGUCUCUAAGAAUUCGAGAUAUUCCAGAAUCAUCAGACCCUUUCAUGAAUUUGGCAACAGCUCAAAUCAAGUCAAUGCUUGUUGAAAAAUAUAGGAGCUCAAAGUAUGCAAGUAGGGUGAAGGCAAGAAUUCGAGAAAUAUCCACCAUUGAGGGACUUGAUGUUGAGAAUGAAAAAGGAGACAAAGCUAGUUGGUUCAAGCAGCUCUCAACAUUGACUCGUCGAUCAUUCGUGAAUAUGUGUAGGGACGUGGGGUAUUAUUGGCUAAGGAUAAUUAUAUAUGUCAUAGUGUCCGUAUGUGUUGGUACCAUCUACUUUGAUGUUGGAACCAGUUACACUGCAAUCUUUGCUCGAGGAGCCUGUGGUGGAUUUGUAACUGGCUUCAUGACAUUUAUGACUAUAGGUGGCUUUCCAUCUUUUAUUGAGGAAAUGAAGAUGUUUUACAGAGAAAGGCUCAACGGGUACUAUGGAGUUACAGUGUUUAUAUUGUCAAACUUCAUCUCUUCUUUCCCAUUCUUGGUUUCGAUCUCAGUUGUUUCUGGGACCAUCACCUUCUACAUGGUGAAAUAUCGGCCGGAGUUCUCCCGCUUUGUAUUCUUCUGCCUCAAUAUCUUUGGCUGCAUUUCUGUAAUAGAAGGGUUGAUGAUGGUUGUGGCUUCACUGGUUCCAAACUUCCUGAUGGGAAUUAUAACAGGCGCUGGAAUCAUUGGCAUCAUGAUGAUGACCUCUGGCUUCUUCAGAUUAUUGCCAGACCUUCCAAAGCCAUUUUGGCGGUAUCCAAUCUCAUAUCUCAGUUAUGGCUCUUGGGCACUACAGGGUGCAUACAAAAAUGACUUGAUCGGGCUCGAGUUCGAUCCAAUGAUACCUGGAAUGCCAAGGUUGAGUGGCGAGUAUGUAAUCACCAACAUGUAUGGGAUUCCCAUAAACCAUUCCAAGUGGUGGGACUUAACAGCUCUCAUGCUCCUCGUUCUUCUGUACCGAAUUCUCUUCUUUGUUGUCUUGAAAUUGAAAGAAAGAGCUUCACCAAUGCUGCAGACAAUCUUCGCAAAGAAAACUCUACAACAUCUCGAGAGAAGGCCUUCCUUCCGUACAAUGCCUUCUAUUUCCUCUAAGAGGCACCAACCUCUUCAUUCACUUUCUUCUCAAGAAGGUCUCAACUCUCCUCUCAACUAGAAGCACCAAGAACGAUAACUUGGCAAACUUGUACCUAUAACAAUGUAAUUUCUAAGAGACUUAUUGCAGGUUCUUCAUAACAUAGCAGCACCAUGAAGAUGGAAGGAAUACAUCAUGACCUCCGACCGUGAACUAGCUGAAACUUCAGAUUCCAAAUGCCCUCAAAACAGAGAAUGGAACUUUUCCUUACAGAGAGGGAAUGGGUUCGAAUCUUCCUGUUUAACAAUUGUUUGUCAUUAUCUAUGAAUAUGAAAUUAGGGAGAUGGAACAUUAGAAAUGGUAGAUAUGCAGUUGGCAGUACAACAUCAAUGAGUAGUAAUUUGAAAUUCACAUCCCUAAAUAGACCUGGUCAUAGAUGAAGAACUUUUGCAGAAGUGCAUAAUUGUCCCAUAAA